rnacentral:rRNA from 1 species
AGUGAACGCUGGCGGUAGGCCUAACACAUGCAAGUCGAACGGCAGCACAGUAAGAGCUUGCUCUUACGGGUGGCGAGUGGCGGACGGGUGAGGAAUACAUCGGAAUCUACUUUUUCGUGGGGGAUAACGUAGGGAAACUUACGCUAAUACCGCAUACGACCUACGGGUGAAAGCAGGGGAUCUUCGGACCUUGCGCGAUUGAAUGAGCCGAUGUCGGAUUAGCUAGUUGGCGGGGUAAAGGCCCACCAAGGCGACGCUCCGUAGCUGGUCUGAGAGGAUGAUCAGCCACACUGGAACUGAGACACGGUCCAGACUCCUACGGGAGGCCGCAGUGGGGAAUAUUGGACAAUGGGCGCAAGCCUGAUCCAGCCAUACCGCGUGGGUGAAGAAGGCCUUCGGGUUUUAAAGCCCUUUUGUUGGGAAAGAAAAGCAGCAGGUUAAUACCCCGCUGUUCUGACGGUACCCAAAGAAUAAGCACCGGCUAACUUCGUG